UCCUACGGGGGGCAGCAGUGAGGAAUAUUGGUCAAUGGUCGGGAGACUGAACCAGCCAAGCCGCGUGAGGGAUGAAGGUACAGAGUAUCGUAAACCUCUUUUGUCAGGGAACAAAGGCGGGGACGUGUCCCCGGAUGAGUGUGCCUGAAGAAAAAGCAUCGGCUAACUCCGUGCCAGCAGCCGCGGUAAUACGGAGGAUGCGAGCGUUAUCCGGAUUUAUUGGGUUUAAAGGGUGCGCAGGCGGUCUGUUAAGUCAGCGGUCAAAGCCCGGGGCUCAACCCCGGCCCGCCGUUGAAACUGGCAGG
rnacentral:rRNA from 1 species